rnacentral:rRNA from 1 species
UACAGAGGGUGCGAGCGUUAAUCGGAGUUACUGGGCGUAAGGGCGCGUAGGCGGUUAUAUAAGUGAGAUGUGAAAUCCCUGGGCUUAACCUAGGAACUGCAUCUCAUACUGUAUGACUGGAGUAUUGUAGAGGGUAGUGGAAUUUCCGGUGUAGCGGUGAAAUGCGUAGAGAUCGGAAGGAACACCAGUGGCGAAGGCGGCUACCUGGACAAAUACUGACGCUGAGGCGCGAGAGCGUGGGGGAGCAAACAGG